rnacentral:rRNA from 1 species
UGGGGAAUAUUGCACAAUGGGCGCAAGCCUGAUGCAGCCAUGCCGCGUGUAUGAAGAAGGCCUUCGGGUUGUAAAGUACUUUCAGCGGGGAGGAAGGCGAUAAGGUUAAUAACCUUGUCGAUUGACGUUACCCGCAGAAGAAGCACCGGCUAACUCCGUGCCAGCAGCCGCGGUAAUACGGAGGGUGAAAGCGUUAAUCGGAAUUACUGGGCGUAAAGCGCACGCAGGCGGUCUGUCAAGUCGGAUGUGAAAUCCCCGGGCUCAACCUGGGAACUGCAUUCGAAACUGGCAGGCUAGAGUCUUGUAGAGGGGGGUAGAAUUCCAGGUGUAGCGGUGAAAUGCGUAGAGAUCUGGAGGAAUACCGGUGGCGAAGGCGGCCCCCUGGACAAAGACUGACGCUCAGGUGCGAAAGCGUGGGGAGCAAACA